UCUCCGUUGGUGAACCUGCGGAGGGAUCAUUACCGAGUUUACAACUCCCAAACCCCUAUGUGAACGUUACCAAACUGUUGCCUCGGCGGGAAAUUCAUGCCCCGGGCGCGUCGCAGCCCCGGACCAAGGCGCCCGCCGGAGGACCAACCAAAACUCUUUUGUAUGUCCCUCGCGGACUUUUAUAAUUCUGAACCAUCUCGGCGCCCCUAGCGGGCGUUUCGAAAAUGAAUCAAAACUUUCAACAACGGAUCUCUUGGUUCUG
rnacentral:misc_RNA from 1 species